rnacentral:rRNA from 1 species
UGGAGAGUUUGAUCCUGGCUCAGGACGAACGCUGGCGGCGUGCCUAAUACAUGCAAGUCGUACGCUUCUUUUUCCACCGGAGCUUGCUCCACCGGAAAAAGAAGAGUGGCGAACGGGUGAGUAACACGUGGGUAACCUGCCCAUCAGAAGGGGAUAACACUUGGAAACAGGUGCUAAUACCGUAUAACAAUCGAAACCGCAUGGUUUUGAUUUGAAAGGCGCUUUMGGGUGUCGCUGAUGGAUGGACCCGCGGUGCAUUAGCUAGUUGGUGAGGUAACGGCUCACCAAGGCCACGAUGCAUAGCCGACCUGAGAGGGUGAUCGGCCACAUUGGGACUGAGACACGGCCCAAACUCCUACGGGAGGCAGCAGUAGGGAAUCUUCGGCAAUGGACGAAAGUCUGACCGAGCAACGCCGCGUGAGUGAAGAAGGUUUUCGGAUCGUAAAACUCUGUUGUUAGAGAAGAAYAAGGAUGAGAGUAACUGUUCAUCCCUUGACGGUAUCUAACCAGAAAGCCACGGCUAACUACGUGCCAGCAGCCGCGGUA